UAAUGAAUUAGAAUAAUUAUUUUAACUCCUUUGUCAAACAUGUUACUAAAGCAUAAACCCAAAUAUUCCAAACAUAACGCAACUGAAUGUUCCUACUUUUACAAAUAAACUAAAGGAAGCACAAACACCAAGCCCAACAAAACUCCACUGGCAAGGCCACACAAUUGCCCGAAUUUUGCUCACUGAACAACCAGGUUUUCGUCUACUAUAAAUUAAAAUGAUGUAUUAAAGAUAAGAUUAAAGAAAAGAAGAAAUAAAAUAAAUAAUGAUUAAACAAGAAUAAAAAAGACCCCUUAUGCUUAAGGGCUAAUGAGAAAACAAAAUUUGAAGGAGAUGGAUUUCAUGAAGCUGCAAGUUUUCUACUCCACAUUAAGCCGUCUCAUAAACGAGUCUACAAAAAGCCCAUCCUCUGACAAAGAAUCAUUAUCUCAUGUAGUAACUGAUCAAUCAUUAUGAACUCUUUCUUGAGAGGUUCUUCAAUCCACUUCCCACACAUUUGAGUAUAACUGUCCCUGUUGAUGGGUCUGGCUUAAUAACAAACUUAACCCCCAGAAAAUCUUUAAUAUGUCUCAGAGUUUCUAUUCCAUACGGUGAAAGCUUUCCCACACGAAUCUUUGACACAUCUUGAGGACACAUAGCACAGAGAAGAAACAAUAGACCCUGGUGUGUUGAAUCUACAACUCCACCUUGCUCAAUCUCCUGAAGAAGAAAAGAAGCUAUUUGCUCACCAACAUUCUCUGGAGGCAUCAACUCCUUUUCAUCUUCCAUUUCAUCUAUAUCAUUCCCCCGCACAUAAGAAACUGCUGUAUCAGCAGAGAUGAAGCAGCCAGAGGUAGUUUCGGCAACCAAGGAAAUCCCAUAACCAGGAGAAUUUCCAGCUUGAGGGCCAGCUUUAUGAUCAGUAAAUAUAUGAACAUCAGGAAGCAAACGAUUAAAGAUACCACGGGCAGCAUGUAUCAUAGUAUUUUCAAACUGAGAGGAUACCCUGGUUGAGAAAGUGACUCCUCUAAUCCUCUUAACCAUUCCCUCAUCAGACCAGGUCACUGCCUCUAGACUUUGAACAAUAGGAAUCGAUAAAACAACUUCUCCACCUCCAUGAGGUGGAACACCACGACUCUCUAUUUUUAGUUCCAAUCCUUCUGAAGGAACUCCGAAUUGCCUCAACAUUGGCAAGGUAGCAGAGCGAAAAGUGUCAACAGAUGGAUCCUUUGAAUCAUUUGUAAUUCCUUUGAGUCUUACCAUAAGGGAUUUCUUUGCAAACAACCCAAGAACAACCAAUGGCUCUAGGAAAUAACCAAUUGAUCGAUUAACACCACAAUCGUGCACAAGAUGUUUCCCACCCAUCACGAUUCCAGGUUUGUAUUUAAGCUUCGUGCCAGUUUCAUUUAUUUCAAUGAGGCAGUCAUCAGAGACUCUCUCAAGGAGGCGGAGGAAGGAGAUCUCAUGGGGUCGGAGGCCUGGCAGUGUCUCAUCAGCGCGAAUGUCCUCGAUAAGAACAGGAGUGGCAGAGAGGGUUGCUAAUAGCAGUCUCAGGCGGAGGUUUUGGCUCCCUUUGAAUCUCUUAUAAGUUACCUUCCCCAUCUUUGCAAUUUGUAGCUUUGAUUUGUGGAUAUGAAUCCCGAGUAAUCAAUUUCUGUGUUGGUGAAAUUGAAAACUAUUUUAUAGAGGUGAGAUGAGGCAAGCGAGAUUCCAGAUUUCUAGCUUUCUAGUAAUGAGGUGAGCUGAGGGGCAGGUGGCUGGCGAGACUGCAAACGAGGGGGCAAGGCGACGAGGAAAGCCGAUAAGAAUGUGUCACAGCAGAGAAUCGACAAGAUGAGUCACAGCAUAGCAGCGAGGAGGCGCCGCGAGGAGGCACAGAAGCGAUGUGGGGG
rnacentral:misc_RNA from 1 species